AGAGCGAACGCUGGCGGCAGGCUUAACACAUGCAAGUCGAGCGGGCGUAGCAAUGCGUCAGCGGCAGACGGGUGAGUAACGCGUGGGAACGUACCUUUUGGUUCGGAACAACCCAGGGAAACUUGGGCUAAUACCGGAUAAGCCCUUACGGGGAAAGAUUUAUCGCCGAAAGAUCGGCCCGCGUCUGAUUAGCUAGUUGGUGAGGUAAUGGCUCACCAAGGCGACGAUCAGUAGCUGGUCUGAGAGGAUGAUCAGCCACAUUGGGACUGAGACACGGCCCAAACUCCUACGGGAGGCAGCAGUGGGGAAUAUUGGACAAUGGGCGCAAGCCUGAUCCAGCCAUGCCGCGUGAGUGAUGAAGGCCCUAGGGUUGUAAAGCUCUUUUGUGCGGGAAGAUAAUGACGGUACCGCAAGAAUAAGCCCCGGCUAACUUCGUGCCAGCAGCCGC
rnacentral:rRNA from 1 species